GUGGCUUUUACAUGAAUAUAGAUAAAGAUCCAUGCUUUGAAUAUGUUUUUGACAUUUGAAGCUUGUUGUGAAAGUGUAUUAGCCUACAGCAAAUUUAGUUUCCCUCGCUAUCCUGUUCUUCAAUUUUUAAUGAUGUUUCUUAGGACGUCGGGGAACAAUAUUU
rfam:Capsella rubella cultivar Monte Gargano unplaced genomic scaffold scaffold_5, whole genome shotgun sequence.